GUGCUCGCUUCGGCAGCACAUAUACUAAAGACUUGGAACGAUACAGAGAAGAUCAGCAUGGCCCCUGUGCAAGGAUGAUGCGCGAAUUCGUGAAGCGUUCCAUAUUUAA
ensembl:snRNA U6 U6 spliceosomal RNA